AUACGGAGGGUUCAAGCGUUAUCCGGAUUCAUUGGGUUUAAAGGGUCCGCAGGCGGGAAAAUAAGUCAGUGGUGAAAGCCUACAGCUCAACUGUAGAACUGCCAUUGAUACUGUUUUUCUUGAGUAUAGAUGAAGUGGGCGGAAUAUAUCAUGUAGCGGUGAAAUGCAUAGAUAUGAUAUAGAACACCGAUUGCGAAGGUAGCUCACUAAACUAUUACUGACGCUCAGGGACGAAAGCGUGGGGAGCGAACAGGAUUAGAAACCCUAGUAGUCC
rnacentral:rRNA from 1 species